rnacentral:rRNA from 1 species
AUUGAACGCUGGCGGCAUGCUUUACACAUGCAAGUCGAGCGGUAACAGGCCUUCGGGUGCUGACGAGUGGCGAACGGGUGAGUAAUGCAUCGGAACGUACCCAGAGGUGGGGGAUAACGCAGCGAAAGCUGUGCUAAUACCGCAUGUGAUCUGGGGAUGAAAGCGGGGGACCGAGCAGCAAUGUUUGGCCUCGCGCCUUUGGAGCGGCCGAUGUCGGAUUAGCUAGUUGGUGGGGUAAAGGCCUACCAAGGCGACGAUCCGUAGCUGGUCUGAGAGGACGACCAGCCACACUGGGACUGAGACACGGCCCAGACUCCUACGGGAGGCAGCAGUGGGGAAUUUUGGACAAUGGGCGCAAGCCUGAUCCAGCAAUGCCGCGUGCGGGAAGAAGGCCUUCGGGUUGUAAACCGCUUUUGGCAGGAACGAAACGGUGUCCGCUAAUACCGGGCGCUAAUGACGGUACCUGCAGAAUAAGCACCGGCUAACUACGUG